CGGAGCCCGAUCCUGCAAAACCCGGGCUGGGGGCGGGAGUGGAGCCGGAGCGCCCGCCCGCCCGGGUGUCAGGCCGACGUGGAACUGAGAAAAUUCCCUUAUUGCUUCAUGCGGUCCUGCUGGUUUUCUGUCAUUUACAACCACAGGAGCCCAGAUACCCCUACUAUGAGCAGGGAAUCAAGAAGGAACACAAAAAUGACUAACUCAUAGCCUUGCCUCCAGGUACCAGGUGAACAUACCUGUG
rnacentral:lncRNA from 10 species